GCGCGGGGCGCUGCUGCUGGCGCUGCUGCUGGCUCGGGCUGGACUCAGGAAGCCGGAGUCGCAGGAGGCGGCGCCGUUAUCAGGACCAUGCGGCCGACGGGUCAUCACGUCGCGCAUCGUGGGUGGAGAGGACGCCGAACUCGGGCGUUGGCCGUGGCAGGGGAGCCUGCGCCUGUGGGAUUCCCACGUAUGCGGAGUGAGCCUGCUCAGCCACCGCUGGGCACUCACGGCGGCGCACUGCUUUGAAACGCCUACUACACCCGUUACUUCGUAUCGAAUAUCUAUCUGAGCCCUCGCUACCUGGGGAAUUCACCCUAUGACAUUGCCUUGGUGAAGCUGUCUGCACCUGUCACCUACACUAAACACAUCCAGCCCAUCUGUCUCCAGGCCUCCACAUUUGAGUUUGAGAACCGGACAGACUGCUGGGUGACUGGCUGGGGGUACAUCAAAGAGGAUGAGGCACUGCCAUCUCCCCACACCCUCCAGGAAGUUCAGGUCGCCAUCAUAAACAACUCUAUGUGCAACCACCUCUUCCUCAAGUACAGUUUCCGCAAGGACAUCUUUGGAGACAUGGGUGACUCAGGUGGACCCUUGGCCUGUAACAAGAAUGGACUGUGGUAUCAGAU
rnacentral:lncRNA from 1 species